UUUUCUUUUCCUUUUUUCUUCUCUUCUUCUCCUUCCUUCCUCUCUUCCCUUAUUUAUUUAUUUAUUUAUUUUCUUUUCUUUUUCUUUCUUUUUCUUUUUUUCUUCUCUUUUUUUCUUUUCUUUUCUUUUCUUUUCUUCUCUUUUUUCUUUCCUUUUCUUCUUUUUUUCUUUUUUUCUUUUCUUUUUUCUUCUCUUCUUCUCCUUCCUCUCUUCCCUUCUUCUCCUUUCUUAUCCUCCCACGAGCCCGCCAGGCCGCGGCAGCCGCGGGAGGGGGCUUGGCCGUGGCCGCGCUCACUAUGGCCAGCGGCUGGUCGCAGCGCAGCGAAGCCCCACGACCGACUGCCAUGGGGGCUUCGCUGUGGCUCGCCUCCCCAGUCCUGCGGAUAGCGGAGGCCCGGCCACCCCACGGCCGAGCUCGGCCGCUCCACAGGCCGGCCACGCGCCACGGGUGGCGUCGCGGCCGCCUACGAAGGGGUUGCCGGCCACGGGUGGUGGCUGCCACCGUGGGCAGCCACGAGCUCCCAAAACAAAACAAAACAAAAAAAAGAGGAAGAAGGAACAGAGGUGGCGGUGUUGAGAGGAAGAAGAAGAUAGAGAGGGAGAGGGAGAGGGAUGGGUGAGAGAGAAAGAGGCGAGAUGAGAGUUUUAGGAGAAAAAAAUGAGAUUUAAAUGGAGGUAUUUCGGUCAAAAAAACAGCUUCCCGACAAAGCUAAAAACAGCGUUUUCGGAAAGCUCCAAAAUGGAGCUUCUCCCACAAAGUUGUUUUCAGCUUUCUGGAAAAGCUGAAACAACUUUCUAAAAUUUUUACCAAACACCCUUUUCCAUUCAAAAGUACUUUUAGAAGGCCAAAAAGCACUUUCUGGCUCUCCAAAAGUUCCCCCAAACAGGGCCUAAGAACUUCUCACAACGAACUGAAUAUACAAAGAGCAAGGCAUGCUAAACAUGAUCACCCUACAGAAAGAAAAGCAUGCCAACCAUGUUGCUAAAAAGUAGAAUUUCCUGUGAUGUCUGGGAUUGCUAGCUAAUAACCUAUGCUAAAGAGAAAAGUGGAGAUGAAGGGUGGGGGAAGGGGAUGGGCAGGAAGAGGAGGGUCGGGAGGGCUAGGGCACAAGGAGGAGGGUGGUGGGAGAGGGGGAUGGGCAAGCGACGGGGGUACAGAGAUGGAGCAUCUGGUAGGGAAUAAUAACUGGAUUUCUAUUGGACUCUAAAACAAGCCUGAACCCCUUGGGCUAGGCCCAAAGCCCGACUUCAAGCCGGCUAGGCCCAAUAAAUCUUGGCCAGCUCAGCCUAUUUCCAACCCUAUGACAAAUAACAGGGAAUAAUAACUCUUGAGACACUAUAAGUUUUCCACUUUUAUGACAAAACUAAUUUUCUUUUUCCCAAAAUUAUCCAUCGACGUUGAUAUCGGUUGGAUUUCUCUAAAGAAAACUGCUAUCAAUAAGCUGCC
rnacentral:lncRNA from 1 species